UAAAAAAAUCUUGUAUAUAUGUAGAUUUUUUAUUAUAAGAACAUUCAUUUUUAUUCUAUGAUGCAACCCUUUUACAAAAGGCUUUCUGCACAAAGUACUUUUUCUUUUGAUACUUUAUUAUAUUUGGCUAAUAACACUUUGGAACUUUACCUUAAGUAUUAUUUUGAACUUGGGACUAUAGCAAGUAAUGGAGUAUUUAUACUUUUACUUUAGUACAGGAUCUGAGUACUUUUUCCACCACUGCUUAAGAUCCAGUAAUGGGUUGCUAUAUCCUGCACCUCACACCCUGAAUUAUGUUAAUGGCUGCAAUAAUAGUUGUUAUUUACAAUACAUUUGGAUCAUUAACACAUUUCUCUUUUUCUCUAGGUUUUGAAUGUGGAGAUGCAAACAGUGUACUGAGACUCAAUCUACAAGGUAAACGCAGAAUUCACCCGCAUCACCACCGUUCCGCUGCUGCCUACCUUCAUGUCUCAACUGGAUCGCCAUUCGUCUCAGUUGAUGAAGGUUUUCAAAAAGAAGGGGGGAACAGCAGGACGCAAUUUGGGCCUGAUCAUGGCAGCCAUGGACAAGGAUCCCACAGUUGAAACACGACGGGACUGUGUCCUUAAAGCGCUCUGCGUCUACUU